ensembl:lncRNA
CCCACAUAUCUGAUUAUACCAAAUGAGGUGAAUGGGGUCUGUUCUAUAGCCCAGACUCUGCUAGUCUCUCUAGUGUUCUAUGAGGUUCUCUUGCUAAUCUCUCUGGUGUUCUAUGAGGUUCUCUGGCUAAUCUCUCUGGUGUUCUAUGAGGUUCUCUGGCUAAUCUCUCUGGUGCUCUAUGAGGUUAUCCGGCUAAUCUCUCUGGUGUUCUAUGAGGUUCUCUGGCUAAUCUCUCUGGUGUGCUAUGAGGUUCUGCUUGCUGAUGGCUGUCCGCUCAAUUUCUCACUCUUCGCAGCCCCUCUGAAUGGAGUCAUUUAAGCCUUGGACAUGGGACCCAGCCAAGCCAAACAAUCUCAUUAUACAUGCUUCGCAGCUCC